rnacentral:lncRNA from 1 species
GACCGAGACCAGCACAGCGGGGAACAUGGUGAAGUGGGUUGAACUGAAACUUGUUGACUUACUGUGUAUUUCACAGACUGGUUUAUUUACCGUUGAGGCGGACCUCUCUCCUCCGUGUGUCCCUGAGCUGCCUGCUUCAGAUCCGUCACUCUGCUGUGCUGUGAGGUAGUUAGUGGAUGAAGAUCGUCAUGAGGUUGCUGCGCCAUCUACAGGAUAAGUUGGGAAA